AACGAUUGGUGCCGCAAACCUUAAGACGACCGUGGGAAAUGAUCGACUUUCAAUUCAUUUGUCCGAAGAUUUUUCACAAUUUUUUUCACACGAUUGUUUUCCGAGACGUGGCAGAAAGUUCACACGAGUCAAUUCAACGGGUUCAGAUUUGACCCUGGGAGAGUUCGUUUGGGAGGGCGAUUCGACCGCAAAGCUGGCGAUUUUCUGCCCUCUUGUGGCAUUUACAUGUAAUAUCCAAUUUUUGACUUGGGGAUUUUGUCAUUUUGCGGGAAACAACCUAACGAGAGGAAUAUUUUGUCGUCAUUAAGCAAAUUUUUGUACGGUGAUGAAUUUAAAUUGUCAUGUUGUCGCUCUUGAGUCUUGAAAACCAGAAACAGGAAAACUCCAGUCGCGGAUCAAUGAUGCUGUGAGGAAAAUGAUCCAAUUUGACGUAAUUUGUCAGGAAGACGGCUUUUAUUAAAAAACCGCUUUUGCAGAUAUUAUUCAUCAACGUGCGGUGACGGGCAGAACAUUGAAAUGUUCUUCGACGGGAUGGGACGGCAGCGUCGGUACGAGCAAACGCGCUGCCGCUCGCGGAACAGAGAAAAAAACAAACAACAAAUUGUGUGAAGGUAACCGAGGACAGUUUUAACAUGAACUCGUAGUUUCCGGAUCGAAUUGAAACAAGAUCAAGACGAGAUUUUCUUUCAGCGUUUUUGCUUGGUCGUGUGACCGGAGAUUUUUCUCAUGUAAAGUCGAUGCCUUGCUCAAUAGAUGUUGGGAAAGAUGUGACCUGCACGACUGUGAAUCAAGAAAGACAAAACUAAAAAAAACAAUAUUUAUCGAAUUACAAUGUCAGUAAAUCAAACUGCCUUGGGGCAUUAUUAUAUCAUAUUAGGCGGGUGAGUAUGAACACUAUUUAAAAAAAUUGGAUUUGAUCAUCCGUUGAUGCUUAAUUUGGGGAGAAAACGAGUCUGUCAUGAACCGACGGUGCGGGGGCGGACCCAAAUGCAGGACUUGCAGGCAGAGGCAUAAUGUUCAAUGUGGUUUUAUUCAGGAAACUGGUUGAUACCAAAAAGCAGUCCAAAACAAGGGAGAGGUACAAAACCGCCAGGCUAGGCAGGAUCCAAAAGACGUACAGCAAGGUCCGAUGACCGUGGGGCAAAGAAGCUUAACAGGACAUUAUAAAACAAAAGGUCACAGAAUCAUUGUGACCAAGGGUUGCUCGAACUUACGCAUAGAAGCCGAGAGUCCCGCAGGCAGUGAAUGCAACUGACUUAACACAAGGCAACGAACUGGCAAAUGCCACGAACAAAACUCCAAACUUAAAGACAUGGUCUGAUUAGAGUUCAAAUGGAAAACAGAUGUGGCACCGCCCAGAGCGGUGGCCAAGCCACACCCCUCUUGAGAGUGGCCAUGCCUUGCUCAAAUUGAAGGCAGCGCGAAUGGAUUCUGAGCAUCGAGAUCCGAUGGGAUUCAAUUCUUCAUUUGCAGAGAAUCGGACUGUGCUGCUAAACGGGCGAGGACUCGGACGAACAUCUGGAGGACGUCAAGAUGACGAUCAACCUUCCACUCACCUCUGGACGAGCCGCCGAGGCUCUAAAAACCAGAUUAUGUUCUGUUGUGUUGAUGGGAGGUGAACCAAAGCCAACAUCAUCAUCAUCAUCAGGGCUAAAAAUAUCCUGGGGGGCAAAAUUUGUUUGAUUUGUUACCUUCAGAUGUCUUCCGAUCGCCACCCGGCCAGAUUCCGAUUUGCGAGCUGCAGUUUGCGGCAAUCAGACUCGACCCAAAGUUUAUUAUUAUUAGUUCUGACGUGAGCGACUGUGUGACGGUGCAGGUUGCGGUCCAGCCGCUGCUUCGUCACGAGAGAGGGUCUCACCGAGCCGGUCCGUGUGCGGCAGCAGACCUUCCAAGUCCACCGGGAGGUCACAGUAUGCGGUCACGUGUCCGCGUGGACAGCUGACAGCCACUCGGCGUCCUCUCACUUGUCGCCGUCGCACACUUUGGAGUGCUGUGCGCGCUUCGGAACUUUCAGCGGUGGUUCCCUUCCCGGUGGAUAUUGAGAGGCAGUCGAGGGGUGCGGGGUUGGGGGGCCCACGGUCGCUUCGCACCCAAUGGAGGGCGCAACUCGCGCUGGGGACUCGCAGGAGUUGACGGCGGAUAAUGUCGAGGCGGCGCUCUACCAGCUGUAUUUCGACCCGGACACGGAGCGCAAGAAUGCGGCCCAGAAGUGGCUCGGCGAGGCUCAGGCGUCUGCACAGGCCUGGCACUUCUGCUGGGCCCUCUUAGGCCCCACCAAGCUCCCAGAGGUCCAGUUCUUUGGUGCCAGCACCCUGCACGUCAAGAUCUCCUCGCACUGGAGCGACCUGCCAGCCGAGCGGCACGAGCAGCUGAGAGCUCAGCUCCUUUCCCACAUUUUGCACUUCUCGUCUGGGCCCAAAAUGGUUUUGACGAGGUUGUGUGUCGCACUGGCCUCGAUGGCCCUCAACCUAAUCCCCGACGUCUGGGCCCAGCCGGUUGCCGACAUGGUGCGAGCCUUCCGACCCGAGAACCCCGAAGGCGCCGGGGCGGCGGCGGAGCCUCGUCUGCACUGUCUGGCCCUGCUCGAGCUCCUGCUGGUACUUCCGGAGGAGUUCCAGAGCAGCCGCCUGACCCAGACCCGACGUGCCCAGUUGAGGGAAGCCCUGGCCGGGGAGUGGACCGCCGUGUGUCCGCUGUUGCGCCAGCUCCUCCAAAGUCAGGACUCGUCACCCCCGGUGAAGGAGAAGGUCCUCCGCUGCUUGUCCAGCUGGGUGGGACUGGACGUGGCCCUCGGGGACACGCAGGAACUGGUGCAGGACUGCUUUGCGACGUUAUCCAGCCCAGAGCUGUUUGACACCGCCGUCGAGACCAUCGUCAACGUCAUCUCGCGACCUGACUGCCGGAGGCACAGCACGGCUCUGAUGAAUCUUUUGCCCCAGGUUUUGGGUCUCCGCGAUCAGCUGAAGACGGCAGCUGGAGCGGGCGACAUGGAGACAUCGCACGGGAUUUGCCGAAUUGCUGUCGCUUUGGGCGAAACGCACUCCAGGGUUUUGUUGGAGCAAGUUGAGCGCUGGCAGGAGUUUCUGGCCUUGGUCAACAUGAUUCUGUUCUGCACCGGGAUUCCCGGUCAGUUCCCGACCAGCGAGACCAGCAGCUCCCUCACGCUGACCUUCUGGUACACGCUGCAGGAUGACAUUUUGUCAUUCGAGGAGGAGAAGCAGGCCGUUUAUCUGCAGGUGUACAGGCCCCUUUACUUCCAGUUGGUGGACGUGUUGCUACAUAAGUCCCGCUAUCCUUCCCAGGAAGACUACACGUCCUGGUCUUCUGAUGACAAGGAACAGUUCAGAAUCUACAGAGUCGACAUUGCGGACACGUUGAUGUACGUCUACGAAAUGCUGGGAGCCGAGCUGCUCGGGAACCUUUACGAGCGUCUGGGCGGGCAGCUGACGGACCCCCGGCGCUCAGUGGAAUGGCAGGCUACAGAAGCCUUGCUGUUUGGUUUCCAGUCCAUAGCAGAGACCAUCGACGUCAACUACUCGGACGUCAUCCCGGGUCUUAUCGGCCUGAUCCCCGGAAUCGACAUCAGCAACGUCCUGCUGGCUGACACGGUCAUGUACACGAUCGGCUCCCUGGCUGAGUGGCUGGCGGACCACCCGGUGAUGCUCGGGGGCACGUUACCCACGGUGCUCCGGGCCCUCUCCAGGCCCGAGCUCUCCGUGUCCAGUGUUUCCACUCUGAAGAGGAUCUGCAGGGAGUGCCGACACGACCUGGGGCCCUACGCCGGCGACGUUCUGGCCGUGUCCCAGGACGUGCUGAUGAAAGAAAUCCAUAAGAGCAGCCAGUGCACGUGGCUCAUGCAGGCCCUGGGCUUCCUGCUCUCCGCCCUGCCGGCCGACCACAUCUUGGGGAAGCUGCGCUCGCUCGUCAGCCCUCACGUCCGGCGGCUGGACGCGCUGGCCCAACAGGCGGCCGAUCCCGCCAACAAAGCGGCUAUCGUGCGCAUCCUGGCAAUGCUGUCCAGCCUCUUCGCCGGCCUGGACGAUUCGGAGGGCGCCGCGGUGACGGAGGGCGCCCGCAACCCGGUGGUGCUUGUUCUGGAGGAGCUUUACGCGCUGAUCCAAAGCAUCCUGAGCACGUGGCUGGAAGACUCGGAGGUGGUGGAGGCGGUGUGCGGCUUAUUCGGCAAGUCGGCAGGGAGUCUCGUCCGUGACGCGGGCCCCCUGGUGGCUCGGUUGAGCGAGACCCUGGGCCAGAUUUACGGCCGCUGCCCGCGAGCCUGCGUCCUGGACCUGGCGGCUCAGAUGGUUGACGGACUUGCCGGAGAGCGGCGACACGUCUCCUCCGUUCGAAACCUCUUGACAGUUCUUUCCUCUUCCACACUGGCGAUAUUUCAACAAGGCGCCAGGGAUCAUCCGGAUAUUGCAGAGUCCUUCAUGUCCCUUCACGCUCAGAUUCUCAAAAGGAAACCCGAUUUCUACCUCGACUCGGAUCGCCUGGAUGCGGAAGCGCUUUUUUAUUGUGGAAUUCUGUCACUUCAAUUUCCUGAAACUUCCACGGUAAAAGCCGCAAGCCACUUCUUUGUAAGUUCACGUUCGGCAGGAGAAAUUACGGAAAUAAUGAAAAGUGAGUGAAUUUGUUGCGGGUGUCAAACGGUUGCCCUCGUAGAACAUCGAGGACGUACGUGUACACGCAAUCUUCAAAGGUCCACUGUCAUGAAAUGAAUGAUUUUUAAUAUGUUAUUAAUGAAAAAAGGCAGCCGGAAUGGACCCAUCCAUUUUUCCAUCACGCAACAUGAUUUUGACAAAUAUGGCUUUUUGGAACUCUCACCAUGAAAAUCCCCUCAUUGGAUUCAUUUUGGAGGAGAAGCAGGAAGUGACGUCAGUAGCGUGUUUAUAGCGGUUUUACCUGCGGGAAGGUAGCUCGUCGUUCCUUCGUGUUAGCCAAAAUGCCAGCCCGUUGUAUUGCCGGAUAUUGUCGGAACACUCGGGAAGAUGGAUUCAUUCUUCAUACCGGUUCGUCGUGAAAAAUGGAUUCCACGGGUGCAAAGGACGAGAGCUUCGUGGGUUCCCAAUGACGAGUAGGUGUGUAUACGGCUACUAAAAAUAAUAAUAAUUUGGGUGGGGGGAUAAUCCUCUCAGAAUGUAACAAAAGAUCCACGCACGUAAGUCAGGGGUGCUAAAGCUGUCGACGUGACCGUCGGCGCCGAGCACGGCUUCGGACGAGCUGGCUCGUGCAUACAGUCUGGGAGUGUGUUGUUAGUUAGAUGUGAUCCGCAUAUCAUCUAAAUAAGGCUCGAAACAAUAGGGAUAUAUCCCCGGUCACUUGUGAGAUGUUCUUUUCUUUGAAAAGAGCUUCCGUGUCCCGUAGUAGGCGGCACAGCGUGUUUUCAGUGGCGAACGUCGCCGUGUGACGUCACGGACAGACGACGCAGGCAACAUGGCGGCAACUUGCAUGUCGUCGAACGACGCUUCCGCAACUUUGCGCGUGGAUGACUGAUGUGCUCUCCGCUCAUAUUUACUUUUUCGUAUGGACAUUGAAGUGAAUAAUGUUGUACGUAUUUUGUAUUACAAUAUCUAUUUUAGAACGUUGACCUUUAGGCGGCUCGCGUACAUUCUGGAAAGUGAAACUUCACAAAACGCAAUCGACGCUCCUCCAAAAAUUCACCAUUGGCUUUAGAGGCCACAAGAUGGGAGACGGCAAGGCGCUACUUUUGUCAACAGGGAUAUCCUCAACUUAUGCCAACGUAGUUGCUUGGCACCAAGGUGGUGUCAACACCUGCAACUGCGACGGAGUUUUUGCCUCGAUGUCGCGACGCCGCGUCGUCUCUCGGCGAGCUGCUGCGGAGGGACGGAAAGCUCCUCACGGAAACCGUCCUG